GAUGAGCAGCACCAGAACUGCCGGGAAGAGGAACAGGGCGUUUAUGGUCAGAGCCCCCGCGUGUGCUGUCCCUAGAAGUACCCGCCCUUCGCCCCAGGUUCAGGAAGAACUGGAAAGCUGGUGAACAGUGACAGUUUGACAGCACUGCAAAAUAAGACCCCAGUUUAUCCAAGGAAAAAAAUAGUGGCAUAUACUCAUAUUCAGUAAGAGAUUACAGACCAUAUAACAAAGUUCACAACAAUGACUUGUAAAGUAUUUGAAUGUAGAAUGAGCUUUUCAUAUAUAUAGCAGUUAAUUGUAAAUAACUUUUUUUGUGAUUAACUUGGUUGAUGAAAUGCACACACAGAAAAUAAUUACAUACUUGUAUGUAUUUUUCCUGUGUGUAAAAACAUGAGGUGUAGACUAGAACUAUAGGAUUUCAGGGAAAGAAACUAAAAGAACUUUAAAGAAGUGGGACUUCGAACUGAGCAUCCAAUACUGGAAUGUAAUUUGAAUUGAAGGCAGAUGGAAAAAUGGGAGUCUAAGCGAACAUGCUUUAUUUGUGGGAUUCAGUAAACAGUUACUAAAACUUAAAUCUUUGUUUAGGCUCUAUGUUAAGCAAUGGGAAAUAAGAUUGGUUAUGAUAUAGUUCCUGUUCUGAUGAAUUUGCAGGCUAAGAAGAGUAUAAACAUUGAUGAUAAUACAAAUCAGGCAGUAAUAAGGGUUAUAAGCUCACAGGUGUUACCACUAGAUUCCAGAGACAUGGUCAGUGAAUUCUGGGGCAACAGGAAAGUGAUUCACAUAAGUAACCCUGGAGUGUCAGUGGUGAUAUUUUGGAAAAUGCUAGGAUACAAAAUGAGAAAAAUUUUUGAGUAGCCAGGCAUUGUAGCAUGCAACUGUAGUCCCAGCUACUCUGGAGGCUGAGGUAGAAGAAUUGUUUGAGGUUAGCCUGGGCAACAUAGUAAGCCUCUAUCUCUUAAAAGAAAAAAAAAUACGAGAAAUGAAAGUCUUUGAGUAUCUUCUGGAGGAAAUUCUGAUGGUGAUGGAGAAUUAGGCAGUGUAUGGAACUGGUCCAUCUUAAUUUAUUAUUAUUAUUAUUGCCAUCUAUCUUAUUUUAUUAGGUAAUCUUAUUUAAUAUUAAGUAUCAUAUUACAUCCUGAAAAUCAUAUUUUGGGAAAAAUGGUCCUUAGCUGAAAGGCUCCCCUGAUUCCCUGACAGAAGAGAAUCAGUUUUAGGUCUGUUUAUUCUUGUUAGGCAAGCAUUUUACCACUGAGCUGCAUCCCUGACCCUUAAUUUUUUCUCUUUUAAAUUUUGAGAUAAGAUUUCACUGUUGCAUAGGCUGACCUCAUACUUGUGAUCCUUCUGCCUAACCCUCCAGAUUUAGCUGGGAUUACAGAGGUGUGCCACCAUGCCUAGUGGGAUAUUUACUCUUUAAGCACAACAGGCAUAGUGAAUAGACUUAUGAAAUUUUCUAAGAACUGGAUACAUAUUUAAGACAUUAAAAAAUACCUGCAAAAUCAAAACUGUCAAAAUUAAUGUGUUUGUUUAAUUGUCCACAAAAUGUAGUAUUUUAUUGACAAAUCAACUGCAAUUCAAAUUUUACAUGGUUUUAUGAAUUAUAUUUAAUAUGAGAUGUGUACUCUAGAAAUAAGAAUGCAUAAAACCAUGUGGAUUUUGUGAUACCUUUUCUUAACUUAGCUCCUAAAAACUGUUUACUUAUUCUGUACAGUUCAAAAGACAAGAAAUAAUGGGUUUGAGAGGGACGAAAUAAAUUAUCCCUUGCACACCACUUCUAACUUGAGAGCUUCUCUGAGCUACUCUCUUUAAAUCAGUCUUUCUGUAAUGAUGGCUUUUUUGGCAGGUCAGAGUAAACUUAGAGAAGGUUUUCCAAAGAUAGAAGUAAGGGCAUCCACUCUUGAAAUGUCGCCUAGGCACAAGUUUUUUCAACAGCUUCUUACAGGUGGUCCUGUUCUGUACUCAAGGACUCCCGAUGCCACCUUAUGGACACACAAGGAAUUUCAGGCAGGUUUUACUUGCCAGUAUACAUGGACCAGAAAAUAAGUCUCUCUGAUCCAGGGAUCCAAGGACUUAGGAAGGUUAUUCAUUUAUACUACUUCUUCCUUCAUGUAAGACUGAACUAUGUCAACAAAAUUAAGCCACAUGUUGUAUUUUAAAAUGUCUUGAGAGGGCUGCUUUACGGGCCUGCCUAGAAAAUCAGUCAAAUAGACAUUGUUUUAUAGUAGGGAAUUUUCUUCUUUGCUCUGACUCAGUCUCUUGGUGUGUAGAUGAACAAGAGAUGGAGGGUGUGUGUAAAUAUAUGCAAGUCUCUUUUAAUUGAAAUCCCUAGAGCUUUAUUUUCUUCCCUCAUAGAAAGCUGGGAUUUCUUUUAUAUUAAAUAAUAUUUUUGUAUAUUAAGUUUACUUUUCCCCAGGUAAGAUGUAUUUGCUUUGGCAUAAUUCAAUAGAAGAGGUGGAAUAUAUGUACGGAUAUUUUCUUGGCUUCAAUAGAUGAUUUAGGUAUUUGUCUUUGAAUGUGGAAUUCAAAAACAAUGACACAGAUGGCAUUAUGUAUAAGGGAAUUAAGAGGCAGUCUUGCAGUAUGACUUAAGAGAAAAAAGUAAGUAACCCCUACCACAAUAGUGCUAUCCCUCUAGCCUGUCAUCUUCUCUUUUUAUUUCAUCAUCAGAGGCAAACUGGCCCUGUUUAGUCACUGAUUUUUAUAUGAUGGCCACAUUGCCUAGCAGGGACAAUAAUGUCACAAGGAGCUUAUUCCUCAGAAAUCCACGUGGUUUAUUUGAUCACUUCCUUCAGACCUCUGUUCAAAGUUCUCUUUUUCUGUGAGGACUUCACUGACCACUCUACUUGAGAUGGUAUCUAGGCAUUAUCCCAUCUUCCCAGAUACACAACUUGUUCCUUUUCUCUGUAACACUUAGCCAUCUCCAGAAUCUGAAAAAGAGCACUCAGAAGGGCAGUGCUGCUGAGAUGAGUAAGCAUGGAGUAGAAGAGCAAUUCUGAGUAGCUGUGUUGGGAGUAACUGACUAGUCUGAGCAAGCGUUUGCAGGACCCACCAUGAUGGAAAAGAAAGGAACCACCUACUCACCUAAGAGGACAAAGAUGCAGGCUAGGAUGGCAAUGAGGGCGCCCCGGCUCAAACUGACUGGGAGCAUGUAGGCCUCGGGGCUGCAGGACAUGACGUGGCCUUCAUCAUCACAGCUGCAUACCUGGAUGGCAGAAGCUUGAAGGAACUGAUGUGUAGUUCUCUUGCCUUGCUGUGAUAACUCAAAGAAUGUUGUGGGAUGGAACCCAAGCACUUUGGGAUACUGAGCUUCAUAUGGUGAACAGUUGUCUUGGAUAACUCAGAUGUACUAUGGGCUUUAUUUGAGCAAGAAAUAAACUUUGCUUGUGAAAAGCCA